UACAGAGGGGGCAAGCGUUAUUCGGAAUUAUUGGGCGUAAAGGGCGCGUAGGCGGCUUGGCAAGUGGAUGGUGAAAUCCCUCGGCUUAACCGAGGAACUGCCGUCCAAACUGCUUUGCUUGAGACCGGGAGAGGUGAGUGGAAUUCCCAGUGUAGCGGUGAAAUGCGUAGAUAUUGGGAGGAACACCAGUGGCGAAGGCGGGUCUCUGGGCCGAUACUGACGCUGAGGAGCGAAAGCUAGGGGAGCAAACAGG
rnacentral:rRNA from 1 species